UGCCCGCUUGGGCUGCGGCCGGGCCACGCCUCGCACUCUGGAGACGCGUCACCCGUUGCUGGGCAGAGAACUUGGUAUUUGCAUCUCCCAAUCGCUGGCUGCCGGAGCAGGGCGGGACUCGGGCUGCAGGGCUGGGCGGUCUCCCGCCUGGGAUUGGGGGUGUCGGAUGAGAUCGGUUUCUUUUCUUAGGCUGGGGACUGGAGGAAUGGUGGAGGGGCGCUGAGCGUGCUUCCCAUCUGGCUCCGAAACCUUGUCUCCGCCCUGCAUUGCCUUUGAAAUUUUAGCUUAUUCAGUGACACCUGCCGCCAGGUAGGACUCCGCCCCCUUUCCCGGGGGCGUCUUUUUGGACCGUCCCAGAACUGAAUGUGUGUGUGGGGCGGGGGGGCACCCAGGCUUAGGAAAGACUUUUAAGGGGACAGUUAUCGUGUCACAGGUGUAGCCCCUGCUAAUACACACAGGAUCAGCCAUAUCGGGGCUCAUCAAAUGCUUUUAGACUCAAUAUACCCUUUCGAAUUUUUUAUCUCGUUCGAGGAGUCAGUAGAGUCCUGAGAAAGAAGGGACUAUGGACGCUCGCCUCCCAAUUAGAAAACACUGAAGACAAGCCAACUAAGGCUCGAAUACUAGGCUCGCGGUCCCGGUUCUAUUCCAUGCACUGCGCACGGAGGGGCCGGGGCGCCUCGCCAACCAGUCGAGGGGCCUUAACAGCGCGGACUUCACGCUUUUCACAGCCCUCAGGCGAUGUUCGAGGAUGCGUGGGUGGCCCGCGCGCAGGUCCUACCCCACACCGCGGCCUGCCUGGUGCGGGACUAGGGCGCGGCGCUCCUUGCGUUUCUGGAGAUGAGUGCGCGGGCACGGGGGCGGAGCCAGGCCAAGGGGCGUGUCCGCGACGCAUGCUCUAGGCGCGUGGCGGGGAGGGGCUGCGCGCUCCCAGCUCACCACGUGUGAGGCGGCUCAGGCACCACUGGGCGUGUGCUGCCCCAGGGAUGUGUCUCUGGUGUUCAAGUACAGGAAAGUCUCCCCAGUAUCUCAUGGAAAGUGUGAUGGCACAUCUGAGGACAUGUGACUGCUAACUUUUACAAAACAGUACGCCUCCUCAUGGCCGGCACAACUCCAGUUGGUACACCACAGCAGAGCAGGAGCUCCAUGAGAUCAGAGGGCCCACGGGAUUGCUACUCUUACCGUUGUAUCUUGUAUCCCAGCACCCAGCAGAGCUUGGCACAACAUAGCCUUUGAAUAUCUGUUCAGUGAAGGGAGGAAGGAGCCAAUAAGGUAUGGGCGUGGCUAACUCAGGAGUGGGCGUGGGUGUUCCAGACACCAUCAUACAACUCCACUCACCCCAAGUGUGGGUAGCUCCAAAACAUCAGUCUGCAAACUGGCAUGGUCCUCAAAGACAUUCAUAAUGAAGAGAAAGAACAAUAACAGCAAGGUAAUUCGUUUUUUGAUUCAUCAAAAUGUCUUAUUUAAAAAAUGAAGAGAUUAUGAUCAUAUAUGUGUGUGUGAGUGUGUGUGUGUACUACAGGGCUCUUUUACUGAAUAAUCUAGAACUAUAUAUGUGGUCUUGAGCACUUAAAUAUGGCUAGUGAGAAGCGAAAUGUGCUAUACUGCAAAAUUCUCACCACUUUUCAAAGACAGCAUAAACAGAUGUAAAA